UGACCAGAACGGUCACUGACAAAGUUCAGUGACCGUUCGGUCAAAAGUGACCGAACGGUCACUGAACUUUGUCAGUGACCGUUCUGGUCACU
rnacentral:miRNA from 1 species